UACGUAGGGUGCAAGCGUUGUCCGGAAUUAUUGGGCGUAAAGGGCUCGUAGGCGGUCUGUCACGUCGGGAGUGAAAACUCGGGGCUUAACCCCGAGCCUGCUUCCGAUACGGGCAGACUAGAGGUAUGCAGGGGAGAAUGGAAUUCCUGGUGUAGCGGUGAAAUGCGCAGAUAUCGGGAGGAACACCAGUAGCGAAGGCGACACUCUGGGCCGGUACUGACGCUGAGGAGCGAAAGCGUGGGGAGCAAACAGG
rnacentral:rRNA from 1 species